CUCUGAAUGCCUUUCCACAUGCCAGAGGUUGAUGUUAAUAAGAACAGUGGCAUGCUGCUUUGAAAUUGUUGUUUUCCUCAUCUUCCUUUGGUGUGCUCCAGAGAAUAGUUUGCAUCCAUUUGCUCCUCAGGAAGGCUGCCAGCAAUCUUGUCUGUAGAACCAUUGCAGCAAGAAGAAUUUCAUCUCAGCACAGUGCCUGUGUUGGGAUCAAUGGAUCCCAGUGCUCCGCCCUGUGUGGUCCUUCCCUUCUUCUGUCGGUCAGUGAGCCAACUCGUAGAGAGUUCUGAAGUCCAUUCAGAGACCAAAGGAAGCACACUGUUGCUGGAAAAAGAGAGGAGAUUCAAAGACAAGGGGCUUCAUGAUGCUGUGAUUCUGUAUGAACACAAAGGUAAGGAUCUUGGCACUACCCUUUAGUUUUUUGUGUUCCCUGCUUCAUCCCUUUGUUUUCUAGACCAGAGAAGGAGGAAUAUGCCCUCAAACAGUGUAAAGCGUAUCUUCCAAAACUCCUUUUCUC
rnacentral:lncRNA from 1 species